rnacentral:rRNA from 1 species
CCUACGGGAGGCAGCAGUGAGGAAUAUUGGUCAAUGGACGAGAGUCUGAACCAGCCAAGUAGCGUGAAGGAUGACUGCCCUAUGGGUUGUAAACUUCUUUUAUAUGGGAAUAAAAUGUUCCACGUGUGGGAUUUUGUAUGUACCAUAUGAAUAAGGAUCGGCUAACUCCGUGCCAGCAGCCGCGGUAAUACGGAGGAUCCGAGCGUUAUCCGGAUUUAUUUGGUUUAAAGGGAGCGUAGGUGGAUUGUUAAGUCAGUUGUGAAAGUUUGUGGAUCAACCGUAAAAUUGCAGUUGAAACUGGCAGUCUUGAGUACAGUAGAGGUGGGCGGAAUUCGUGGUGUAGCGGUGAAAUGCUUAGAUAUCACGAAGAAAUCCGAUUGCGAAGGCAGCUCACUGGACUGCAACUGACACUGAGGCUCGAAAGUGUGGGUAUCAAACAGGAUUAGAUACCCUGGUAGUC